UAGCUCAUUAACACAUCUAAUUAAUUCGUUGACAUCACUAUUAAGAUGUCUCUUUGAAAUUGGCGUCUCUAGAUAAUGGGGAUGGAGAGGCUGCCGCGCUGAGCUGCUUGGGAAGGCGGGGAAGGGAGGGGAGGAGGACGGGGCCACUAAUGAAUUUUCCAUCAGGAUCUCCCAGUGUGGCGGAGGGGGUGCAAGGCAGGCGGAGGGAGCGGAGACAAAGAAAGGGGGAAGUGGAGAGCUUGCGGCUGGCCGGCUCUUAAAUAUUGAAUUGCUUAUAUAAACAAACAGCCCAGUCUGCAGAGUGGUGCCAGGCUGCACCCCACCCUGGCCUGCUGCCCUGUGCUCUGGGGGGCUCCCUGCUAAGCCAGAGUCAAGGUCAGCUCUGUGGGUGAAGGUCCAAACCUCCCUGAGGGACAUUGGGAAGAUGCCUUAAACAUCUGGGGAAACUGAGGCUCGGGGACUGGUGUGGUGGUGCCCUAGAUUCAGGGGAAGCUGGGUGACAUUCGUCUGAGUCCCUCUGCAUGCUGGCGUGGUGAGAGGGACCGCAGGAGGCUUGCCACCCACACUCUGGCCUUUCUGGUUUCUGCUGGGUAUGGAAGAAGGAGUGGCUGGCAGUUCAGGCUCCCAAUCCUAGCACUACACUCAGCAGGAGGAUUGAGGUGGGGCCAUCCUGGACUACAUUGUGAGACUCAGGCUCAGAGGUUAACGUUCUCAGAAGUUCUCGAGGGAAGACCUCCCAUUCUCUGUCCCUUCCUCAUCAGGGCCCUGAGGUGACAGAUGACACUCAGGAGACCAGCCUGGUCUCUGACCCAUCUGCUGGGCUGGAGGAGGAUGCUGCUUGGACACAUCUGGAUGAGGAUGCUGCUGUGCACACAUCUGUGCACCAGAACGGAGUAACUACUUCGAGGGCAGCAUAUAGGACAUGGAUACACAGAGGAUUGAGCCAGCAUCUGUCAGCCAGAAGGACCUCUGCGACUGUCUCCAUUGUGGCCAAGUGGACUUCAAGCAUGGAUACAGCUCACCCCAGGUCACCCCAGAAUUUCAGAAGACUGAGGUAGGCCUGCACAGGGCCUGGUGCACAUACCUCCUGGCUAGUCCCACCAUCUAAGCACCUGGAUGUGUGUCCCACCUCUCCUCUGACCAAGAAGCAGAAAACAGAGCCGGCGUCUUGCAAAGCCAGCUUGGCUGGGCAUCGUGACUUUUUGCCAACCCUCUGCAGCAGACAGACGUCAAGCUUCUCAGAGUUUACAUCAUGUGGGAUCCCUCCCCUCAGAUGUGGGCAGGAUACCUGCCUCCCCCCUAAACUAUAGGAUGUGAGACUGCAGUGUUGGGUCCAUCGGCGUUUUGAGAGACUCCCUGCAAGCAGGUGUCCUGGCAACGAGAGGUGGCUUCCUGGGACAGCCCAAGAAGCUGUGGGGCUGUCCAGCAAGAGAGAGGGGUCUGCAGUCCCCUUCUGUAGCUGUGAGGACAGGCAGCUGCUUCCAGCUGCACCAGCCUGGAGGCAGCUUCUUCCACCACUGAGAGCUGUUAAGAAUGGCCGGUCAGGUCAUUUUCCUCCUCCUGAGCAGAGGACCUGGUCUCUGACCUAUAGACACUGUGUCUGGGAGACUGGGCACUAUGGCAUGCUGGACAGGACUGGAAACCAGCUGCCCCCAUCUUAAAGAGCCAAUCACUGUUCUCUCCUCUGUACGUUGGACUCCUUGGUGGCCAGGCUUGCCUCUGAUCACCUCAAUGGAAGCAUCACCUCCUUCAGGAAGUCCCCAGAACUGUCCCACCCUGUCGGCCACAGUGACAGGGUUCUUGGCCUGUGGGGAGAGCAGGACUGAGCAACCCUGACUCCUCCAGGGCCCAGCCCAAGUCUUGGGAUGUCUCUGGGUUUUGGGACUGUCACAGAGAGGCCUGUGGGUACCAGGUUGGCAGAGCCUUCUGUCUAGGUCUCAGCGGGGCACUGUCCUAAGUGCCCAUGCCCACCUGUCCAGCUUGGGGACAUGUACCCCCAGUACACAGCCUUGAGAGUUCCUAAGCGCUGGUAUGUCCCCAAGCCUUUAAAAUUUUCAGCCCAGCAGCGCUGGCUGGCCACCACUGGUAACUUACUUGAAGCCACCGAGCUGUGGGACCACUCAUGUCUCAGCCAUAGGCAGCGUGCAUGUGCUCAUGUGUGGACAUGCCUGCCUGUGGAGGCCAGAGGCCAACCUCCGUGUCAUUCCUCAGGAGCCCUCCCCAUUUUUUUUUAAUUUUUUUUAUUUUUUAAAUUAAGACAAGGUCUGUCACUGGCCUGGAACUCAGAUUCGGGCAGGCUAGCUGGCCAGAGGGCUCCAGGCAUUCCCAUCCCUUCCUGCCCAGUGCUGGGAUCACAAGGGCACCCCAGGAAGCCUGGCUGGCUUUCUGCGGGUUCUGGGAAUUAAACCUGCUUCUCAGGGUGGCAUGCCGAGCACUUCCUGCGUGGACUGAGCUGUCUCCCCGUGGAUCAGGAAUGUUUAAAAUAUCACGCCAGUGCUCCAAACAGUUUCAGGGUGCUGGACUCCGGUAAAGUCCGCACAAACAUUUCCAAAUCGAAUUUAAAAUACUUCUAAAAUCAGAAACACUGCCAGCCUCCAGCACUUUGGACAAAGGAUCUUCAACCUGUAUCAGGCUGAAGGAAAACCUGGGCUCAGAGAUGUCGGGUGGCUUUACUGGAGACACACAGCAGGGACAGAAGUUGAACUCUGAUCCCACAGCCCAGGUCUUUCUUCCUGUCCUUCCUUUGGGAGCCCCUUGAGAACUCAGGACUGCUAGCUGCUGGGGUCCCAUUCUCCGCUAGUAGGCUCGGGUGGAGGGAAAUUUCAAUCCGAUAACACAAAUCUGCAAUAACAGGUAUAAUUAAUUUAUAGAGAAGGCAUUAUGUAAUUACCCUCAGUGCAUUCCAGUUCCAUGGAUGAGGCUCACCAGCUCCCCAGUUAAGGUAUGGGGCCUCGUGAAGACAGACGGGAAAGCGGUAUUUCAAUAUUUCUUAUAAUUUUAUAUUGUCUCUAAUGUCUCUCAUGCUAAUUUCAUUAUGCAACACA